GUAAAUUAGUUUGUUUUCUUCUAAUUCCGAAUUUGAUUAUGAAAUUACUUAAGAGGGCUUAAGUUUUUAAUUAGAUUCAGGUCUGAUUAAGUGCUUAAGUUAUUGGGUCAAGGGUUUGACUUGGAGCGGGCUCAAGAGAAAAGAAAAGAAACCCAAGCCCAUGAAGAGGGGGAGCCCGCGGUUGUAUUAGGGUCUUGAAGGGGGGAAAAGUUUCUUUUCCAUUCAGUUCUGAAACAGAAACCCUUGCACUCCUUACGUAAAGAAAACAGAAGAGAAAAGAGUGAGAGAACCACCCCUUGCUCCCUUAGCCGCCGCCGACAAAGCCACCACCGCCACCUUGUGCACGCGUGAGAGAGAGAGGGAGACCUGCGAGAGAGAGAGCUCAACUAGGAGGGAAGAGAGGGUCUUGGACAGCAGCUUUUGAUCCCUUAUUCAUCACCCAACUUCUGAUUUCUUCACUCUUAAUCAAGAUGGUCGUGAAGAUAACGACGACGAUCCACUCCUGGGAGAUGAAGCUAUAUGAUUUCCCUCAAGAGCCUCUUCCAGAACCUGAGCCUUCGUUGAAGAAGCGACGUCGGGAUAAGGAACCAGUAGACAACGACACCUGAGUUGGAGGGUAGUAUACUUUGGGGGGAAACCUGAGAGUUGAAGCAUCGAAUUUAAUUUUACGUUUUCUUUAUCAGACUUAUUUUUAAUGGUUAAAGUUGUUGGAGUAAACGGUUAUUUACUGUUGGUUUUGGUUAGUUCACUUUUGGAGAAUAAAUGCAUGGUUAAUAAAUAAUUGUGGGCUUUCGCACGCUGGUGUGGCCACGACUUUUCAGUUACAA